GACGAACGCUGGCGGCGUGCUUAACACAUGCAAGUCGAACGGAAAGGCCCUGCUUGCAGGGUAUUCGAGUGGCGAACGGGUGAGUAACACGUGGGUGAUCUGCCCUGCACUUCGGGAUAAGCCUGGGAAACUGGGUCUAAUACCGGAUAGGAGCCAUUUUUAGUGUGAUGGUUGGAAAGUUUUUUCGGUGUAGGAUGAGCUCGCGGCCUAUCAGCUUGUUGGUGGGGUAAUGGCCUACCAAGGCGGCGACGGGUAGCCGGCCUGUGAGGGUGGACGGCCACACUGGGACUGAGAGACGGCCCAGACGCCUACGGGAGGCAGCAGGGGGGAAUAUUGCACAAUGGGCGCAAGCCUGAUGCAGCGACGCCUCGUGGGGGAUGACGGUCUUCGGGUUGUAAAAUCCUUUCGCUAGGGACGAAGCUUUUUGUGACGGUACCUAGAGAAGAAGCACCGGCUAACUACGUG
rnacentral:rRNA from 1 species